rnacentral:rRNA from 1 species
UACGGGGGGGGCAAGCGUUGUUCGGAAUUACUGGGCGUAAAGGCUCGUAGGCGGCCAACUAAGUCGGACGUGAAAUCCCCAGGCUCAACCUGGGAACUGCGUCUGAUACUGGAUGGCUUGAAUCCGGGAGAGGGAUGCAGAAUUCCAGGUGUAGCGGUGAAAUGCGUAGAUAUCUGGAGGAAUACCGGUGGCGAAGGCGGCAUCCUGGACCGGCAUUGACGCUGAGGAGCGAAAGCCAGGGGAGCAAAGCAGG